UGUCCAGUUACUGAACACUGUUCUAUGGUUAGUUUUGCAGGUUUGCAUCCAGCUGUGUGAUAUUCUGCUGUGCAAAUCCAUGCAAAACUGACUGUGGUAGUGAAAAGUCUGUAGAAAAGUA
rnacentral:pre_miRNA from 12 species